AUACGGAGGGUGCAAGCGUUAUUCGGAAUCACUGGGCGUAAGGACGCGUAGGCGGGUUGGCAAGUCAGAUGUGAAAUCCUACAGCUUAACUGUAGAACUGCAUUUGAAACUGCUAACCUAGAGUAUGGGAGGGGGAGAUGGAAUUAGUGGUGUAGGGGUAAAAUCCGUAGAUAUCACUAGGAAUACCGAAAGCGAAGGCGAUCUCCUGGAACAUAACUGACGCUAAGGCGUGAAAGCGUGGGGAGCAAACAGGAUUAGAAACCCUAGUAGUCC
rnacentral:rRNA from 1 species